rnacentral:rRNA from 1 species
AUUGAACGCUGGCGGCAUGCUUUACACAUGCAAGUCGAACGGCAGCACGGGAGCAAUCCUGGUGGCGAGUGGCGAACGGGUGAGUAAUAUAUCGGAACGUGCCUUAUAGUGGGGGAUAACGCAGCGAAAGUUGCGGUAAUACCGCAUACGCCCUGAGGGGGAAAGCGGGGGAUCGAAAGACCUCGCGCUACUAGAGCGGCCGAUAUCUGAUUAGCUAGUUGGUGAGGUAAAGGCUCACCAAGGCUUCGAUCAGUAGCUGGUCUGAGAGGACGAUCAGCCACACUGGGACUGAGACACGGCCCAGACUCCUACGGGAGGCAGCAGUGGGGAAUUUUGGACAAUGGGGGCAACCCUGAUCCAGCAAUGCCGCGUGAGUGAAGAAGGCCUUCGGGUUGUAAAGCUCUUUUGUCAGGGAAGAAACAGCAGCUCUAACACAGCUGUGAAUGACGGUACCUGAAGAAUAAGCACCGGCUAACUACGUGCCAGCAGCCGCGGUAAUACGUAGGGUGCAAGCGUUAAUCGGAAUUACUGGGCGUAAAGCGUGCGCAGGCGGUUAUACAAGACAGGCGUGAAAUCCCCGGGCUUAACCUGGGAAUUGCGUCUGUGACUGUAUGGCUAGAGUGUGUCAGAGGGGGGUAGAAUUCCACGUGUAGCAGUGAAAUGCGUAGAUAUGUGGAGGAAUACCAAUGGCGAAGGCAGCCC